rnacentral:rRNA from 2 species
UUAAAUUGAAGAGUUUGAUCAUGGCUCAGAUUGAACGCUGGCGGCAGGCCUAACACAUGCAAGUCGAACGGUAACAGGAAGCAGCUUGCUGCUUUGCUGACGAGUGGCGGACGGGUGAGUAAUGUCUGGGAAACUGCCUGAUGGAGGGGGAUAACUACUGGAAACGGUGGCUAAUACCGCAUAACGUCGCAAGACCAAAGAGGGGGACCUUCGGGCCUCUUGCCAUCAGAUGUGCCCAGAUGGGAUUAGCUUGUUGGUGAGGUAACGGCUCACCAAGGCGACGAUCCCUAGCUGGUCUGAGAGGAUGACCAGCCACACUGGAACUGAGACACGGUCCAGACUCCUACGGGAGGCAGCAGUGGGGAAUAUUGCACAAUGGGCGCAAGCCUGAUGCAGCCAUGCCGCGUGUAUGAAGAAGGCCUUCGGGUUGUAAAGUACUUUCAGCGGGGAGGAAGGUGUUGUGGUUAAUAACCGCAGCAAUUGACGUUACCCGCAGAAGAAGCACCGGCUAACUCCGUGCCAGCAGCCGCGGUAAUACGGAGGGUGCAAGCGUUAAUCGGAAUUACUGGGCGUAAAGCGCACGCAGGCGGUCUGUCAAGUCGGAUGUGAAAUCCCCGGGCUCAACCUGGGAACUGCAUUCGAAACUGGCAGGCUUGAGUCUUGUAGAGGGGGGUAGAAUUCCAGGUGUAGCGGUGAAAUGCGUAGAGAUCUGGAGGAAUACCGGUGGCGAAGGCGGCCCCCUGGACAAAGACUGACGCUCAGGUGCGAAAGCGUGGGGAGCAAACAGGAUUAGAUACCCUGGUAGUCCACGCCGUAAACGAUGUCUACUUGGAGGUUGUGCCCUUGAGGCGUGGCUUCCGGAGCUAACGCGUUAAGUAGACCGCCUGGGGAGUACGGCCGCAAGGUUAAAACUCAAAUGAAUUGACGGGGGCCCGCACAAGCGGUGGAGCAUGUGGUUUAAUUCGAUGCAACGCGAAGAACCUUACCUGGUCUUGACAUCCACGGAAGAAUCCAGAGAUGGAUUUGUGCCUUCGGGAACCGUGAGACAGGUGCUGCAUGGCUGUCGUCAGCUCGUGUUGUGAAAUGUUGGGUUAAGUCCCGCAACGAGCGCAACCCUUAUCCUUUGUUGCCAGCGGUCCGGCCGGGAACUCAAAGGAGACUGCCAGUGAUAAACUGGAGGAAGGUGGGGAUGACGUCAAGUCAUCAUGGCCCUUACGACCAGGGCUACACACGUGCUACAAUGGCGCAUACAAAGAGAAGCGACCUCGCGAGAGCAAGCGGACCUCAUAAAGUGCGUCGUAGUCCGGAUUGGAGUCUGCAACUCGACUCCAUGAAGUCGGAAUCGCUAGUAAUCGUGGAUCAGAAUGCCACGGUGAAUACGUUCCCGGGCCUUGUACACACCGCCCGUCACACCAUGGGAGUGGGUUGCAAAAGAAGUAGGUAGCUUAACCUUCGGGAGGGCGCUUACCACUUUGUGAUUCAUGACUGGGGUGAAGUCGUAACAAGGUAACCGUAGGGGAACCUGCGGUUGGAUCACCUCCUUACCUUAAAGAA